GGAACCCGCUCUAAGCCCAUGGCUAGAGCACCUAAAGGCGAAAGGCGAGGAGAGUACCCAGGUGGCUCGCGUAAGGCCACGGUGUUCCGAAAUGUUGUCCCGAAGGCCCAGACUGUGGAAAGGAAGAGGAACAGUCCUCUGGGGCAGUGACCAAGGACACAGUCGUGUGGUGAGGAAGUCCCAGAGGACCGUGGGACUUAGUGGUCGGGCCUGUGGGUCUCGAUCCAGUGGCAGUGUUGGCAAACACGGCCAGGGGCAGAAAGGGACUUAGUGGGAACUGACAGAGGGAUAUUGGGGAAGGUUAUUCCCCUUGUCGGUGGGCAUCCUAAGGAUGCUAAGGAGUGGAUCUGAGAUGACCACUCACGGAUGGUUUGCCUAGUCUUGGAGAGCCAAGACGGUGAUGCAAGUGGUAUUGGACUACCAGUGUGGCAAAGGUGAUUGGGCAUGGCCUUAGCGUAACGGGCUGCUAUGUCGGUGGUACCUUUGAGUGUCGGUCAUGGGAUCGGACACGUGGAGCACUUGGACCAAGUGUAAAUGUUAAGUGGCCUGGAUGCCAUUCUCGGGGCUAGCAAGUCCCAAGUCCUGGAUUGGACUUAUGGAGGUGGUGAAUGAGACUCUUCCAAGUGGUCAGAGGUGUGGUUAAGUGACUAAAGUAGAAUGGAAAAUUUAGUCGCUUACAAUUUGGUAUCGGAGCUGUUCCUUAGUCCAACUUUUAUUGGUGCUCAAGUAUAUCACCACUAGUGUUGGCAUCGGAAGGUCCGAGGAGUGGGCCUAUCCUUGAGGAGUAGCAAGUCGGGAAGACAUGGCUCCCCAUUACAGUUCAUGUGUGAACUUGUAGACGAGGUGGUGGAUAGAAAAGGGCCAAUAAUGGAACGACUUUGGGAUCUUGGGAACAGUGCAAGGUUUUCCCCAUUGAGUUGAGGAUGUGAUCCAGAUGAGCAUUUGUCUCAGCAAAUUGGCUAAGGUUGUUGUGGUAAACAACUAAAGUUGGGAUCACGGGAAAGAUAGAGACUCCAAAACAAUAAAGGAGUCACAAGUUUAUCCUCACAUGGUUGAGGCUGGUGCUCAUGAAGGUGAGACCGGAAUGGAUGACCGUGAGAGGUCAAGUAUGGAUGAGGACACGAGUCCUCGAAAUGGUAGCCGGGGCUACCUUUAAUAAAUGCUGGAACAACCCAAGGAGUUGGGGGUGUAUUAAGUGGAUGAGUUGGUAUUCUCAUCACAUGGACAAGUAGUCCUAAGGGGCAAAGGUUGCCCCCAGAGAACAAAAUCAAGUGUCGGAGUAACACUUGUGAAAAUAGUCCUUUUGAGUAGGACAGGAAUGCAAGAAGUGUAUUCCAGUGAGCUAGUGCCUCACAAAUAGGACCUUAAAGGUCUGUGGAUUAACCAAGUCCAAAACUGCUGAUGACUCAAGUAGAGUCAAGGGAUGGUCCUAAAAGGACUGAUGGAAGCAUUUGGACUGAGGUGUGUUGUACCCCACAAAGGAUGCGGGGGGGAUCAUAGGAUCCAAGGAUGAGAACAGAGGGUAUCUCAUCGAUGGCAAAAUGUGCCAUGCUAAAGUUGUGGGAAAGGUGUUCCCAAAAAGAAAACAACUUUGACACAAAGUUGUGUGUGACCUCUAUGGUGUAGUGCUAAUGGAUGGUUGGCAUGAGAAAGAGUGGCAUUGGUCUUGGCAAAGACUUAGACACAAAGAAGAAGUGUCAUAAAGGUAGGCUCGUGGAGCCGAUGGUGUGGAGACACCAAAUGUGCCAAGGUGUGAUACCUUGAGGCUAUGUUGGUGGGUUCAUGAGAACCCCUUGCCAAAGGAAUCCCAAUGGAAGUGGGAAUGGCAUAGCCUAAGCUACAGAGCAUGCAGUUGGAGUGUGGUGACCCAGAUAAUGAUGGAGGUGUGAAAGCACCAAGCAAUGAGUUGUAGGACUUGACAACUAUGAGGCAACUAAGCAAGAGGUGCAAAAUAACUGGUUAAACGGGUAGAAGGUAGCUACCCAAGACUUCUAGCAUAGGGAAGUCGGAUAUACCCUUGCGGGGGAUAAGUUGCUUAUGUUGCGAUAUAGUAAGUCAAUGUCAUAAAAGGAAAUACUCAUUGUCAAGAAAGCCAUCAUUGGGACACCUGAACACUCUAGAACACCAAAAGGUGGUGUUUGAUGUCGCGAGGGCAAUGGAUAAAGCCCAAGGGACUAAGUCCCUAGCGAAUGAUGGAUAGAAGGUGCUAUCCAAAUGUCCAAGGUUGUGGAGACAGGAGAGGACUGUCUACCCAAGUUGGACAAAGCCAAGAAUGGAAUUUUGGCAAGGCUAGUGAUGGGCAUGUAAAGGCCCAUAAGCAACAAUGUAAUCCCAGUGUGUGGGAUUAUAAGGUGAGCAUACCUGGAUUGAGGAACCACUCCUUGGGCUAUUGAGUAGGUUCAUCCCUAAGAAUACUUGCUAAGGCAUGAUAGAAAGUGCAAAGCUAUCCUCCUGGUCUGGAAGAGAAUAACCAAAGGAAACAUAUGGGGCCAAAAGGCAAGUAGUAUUGGGAUGGAACUGAACCAUAGAAAUCAAAGGGCAUAACCAAGGUUGGUUAUGCCAACUGGGAGUGGAGAAUCAAGUGGGGGCUCGAGGGUGUUGCCGCUAGCAACCGUGAUGCCAUGGAGAGUCUAAAAUAUGGAAUUGUCCAUGUUAGACUAUGUGGCAAUUGGAAAGCUUGCAAAAAGGGAGGCCUUAGCAAGCUAAGGGACAGAGUUCCUUCAAGGUUCCCAAAGACGAUUCUAGGUAGCUUAGUACCUAGAAAGGCCAAGUGUAAAUGGUUCAUAGAACGCGCGAAAUCAGAGUGGCGCAGCAGAAGCGUGGUCUUGAAGCUUGCCAUGAGGCAAGGCUAUCAAGGGUAGGGAAGUAGUUCCCGAGUGUUCAAAGAGAGGGCUUUGAACGAAAGUCGAUGGUCAAGGACUUUCACGCUUAUGCAGGAACCAUGUUACAGUGGUCGGAGGACUCGCCAAGCGAGAUUGGCACGUCGGGGGAACAAAUACCCUAGUUGAAGGUGAUAACUUCAAAAAGGGUGGGCCAUGGGGCCGAGCAUGGAGGAGUCCAUGCAUGAUCACAGACAUGUCAAGUGAGAGGACUUGGCAGUGUGGAGGAACUAGGUUCCUAAGCUGUGAUCUGUAGCGCGCUUUAAAAAUAAGUUGGUGCACCGGCGUGGGGAGUCACGCCAAGCAUCUUGUGUGAUGCCGUCCGUAGAUGCAUAUACGGAGGUUGGGUUCGAGUCCCGACCCUCUAGUGCUUGGGUUCGAGUCCCAAAUCACUAGGGCGUGGUGAUGGUUUGGAAUAUGAGGACACUCAUAUUUCGGUGGUCAUGGACUCUCAGUGGGGAGACUGGUUUGGGCACACCGCCAAGCGAGGGAUGCCUCGGAGUCGUGAUGCACGGUUAGAUUGCUUAGUGUGAAAGCUUAGCAUAUCUAACUUGAACGCUUUGGUGCAAGUGGCACCAAGGUCGUGGUGAGUGAGAUGGGGACACCUAAUCUCAGUUGCUAUGAACCCUUGGCCGUAAGGGCUGGCUUGGGUGCACCGCCAAGUGUGGGGGAUGCCCCCGGGGUUAUAGUCAACAACUUGGAGGUCUAGAAGACCAAGUACCUCUUGGCAACUCUGUUAAGGUGCCAAGGUGAGAUCACUAGGUGAUCUUAUGGCCAGAUAAGGACAAGGUCCUUGGUUGGCUAAGGAAUGAAGUUCCUGGUUCAAAAUGUUGAAAUUGAACUGUUUAAGGUGGUGUGGCUUGGUCGUGAUGACCAAGUGGGAAGAGCACCUAAGGGAAAUAAACUAUGUCCGUGCGAUGGCAUAGUGAGUCCGAGGAAAGUAGUCUCUAUAAAAGACCCAUGGGAGGGUCACGAAGUUGGGCCGUGGAUAGAGCCCAUAGCAGAAGAUGCUAAAGAGACGUACUAGGGGUGAACAUCCUCCGGACUUGGCAAAGAAGAGUCUUUGCUAUGGAACCGAAACAAUACCUCAAGAAGGGAGGUAGAGAUUCGAUGUUGCUUGGUGCAACAAUCAACGGAUAGGAGCAAAAGAUGAGUGGCCAAGAUAGGGCCGUGGAAUCCCUUGGAAGGAAUCCAAGUGACAAAGUUAGGUGAGGAACACUAAUGUGUUGGACGCUAACAAGUUGCGGGAAAGGAAGUGUGUUUCCAAGGAGGGAUUCCGAAAUGCUCCGAUUUGGCGAAAGUGGAAGCUCCAAGGGAGGGAGCGGUAAGGUAGCCAAAUCAUAGGGCCAUGAACAGCCCUAGCACAAAGUAUGAUAACUGGAACUUUGGCACGAAAUAGAAGAGAGGAUGAUGGUGCCCUCGAGUAGAGAACUUCCUAGGAUGGGAAGUGGAGUUGCACAAAAAGGUGCAAGGCAAGGUGUCGGAGACACCUAGGAAAUUGACUCCAAGAAGUCAAAAUUCAAAGUUCCAAAGUGCAAAGGUUAUAUCGAUGGAAAUCGAGACUACUCGAGAAGGAGUAGUGGGAUUGACUUAGAGAAGGGUCUCUAAGAGAUUUAGCGAGGACUAAACCAAUAAAAGGAGAGAACCUUUACAUGUGGUCCAAUCAAUCUCUAAGUUGGAGAGACUACCCUCCUUAGAGGAUAGGCAAGGCAUGGUGAGCCUUUGGUGUCAAACCAUGGAGGCCUAUGCAAAAGGCAUGGUGAGCCUUCAAUGUUAAACCAUUGACGAAUAUGGAGAAGGCAUGGUGAGCCUUCAAUGUCAAACCAUUGACAAAUAUUGGCUAGGUGCCAAGGAUGGAAAUGGUAACACACGCGAGUGUUACUUUACAAAAUGGUUUACCGUUCGAUGAGGACAUCGAACUUCGUCUAUGGGUGGUGGAGUUGUGAGACACAAAAUCCCUAGGCCCCAAAGUGGAGCUGGAAGGGCGCCACAUGGUAGUGGCCGAAGCGAGAGCCAAACGCGCGUAACACGUUUGGACCAAAAGCUCCGACUUGAAAAGUCAAGAGCGGGAGUGGAACUCCCAACGAAGUGCUCGAGGAACGAGCACGAAGCGAGCAAAAGGCGAGGCUCCAAAAAGGGACCCGAGUUGGAGUCCGAAGUGGAGUCCGAGAUGGACCCGAGUUGGAGUCCGAAGUGGAGUCCGAGAUGGACCCGAGUUGGAGUCCGAAAUGGAGUCCGAGAUGGACCCGAAAUGGAGUCCGAAGUGGAGUCCGAGAUGGACCCGAGUUGGAGUCCGAAAUGGAGUCCGAGAUGGACCCGAAAUGGAGUCCGAAAUGGAGUCCGAGAUGGACCCGAGAUGGAGUCCGAGAUGGAGUCCGAGAUGGACCCGAGAUGGAGUCCGAGAUGGAGUCCGAGAUGGAGUCCGAGGUGGACCCGAGAUGGACCCGAAAUGGAGUCCGAGAUGGAGUCCGAGAUGGACCCGAGAUGGAGUCCGAGAUGGAGUCCGAGAUGGACCCGAAAUGGAGUCCGAGAUGGACCCGAGAUGGAGUCCGAGAUGGAGUCCGAGAUGGAGUCCGAGAUGGAGUCCGAAGUCGAGACCGAGACUGGGACCGAGACCGAGACCGAGACCGAGACCGAGAUCGGGACCGAGACCGAGACCAAGGCCGAGGCCGAGACCGAGCCCGAGUCCGAGUCCGAGUCCGAGUCCGAGUCCGAGUCCGAGUCCGAGUCCGAGUCCGGAGCCUGAGAGGGUGAAAGCCCAAAGCGUUCGUCUCCCAGACCCUGGGGGGUUUGGUGAGCUCCAAAAGUAUAGUAGGGGGAGGACUGCAGUGGAGCCAGUUUGGCCAGGAAAGGCCAGUUUGGCCUAGGAAGGCCGGACCCAGUGUUGGGUGAUGAGCUGCCCACUGGGAAGUCCAAGACUAGAGUGAACAUGGACCGACAAGCGGGGUAGCUUGGUGAAGUGUUCAAGAGCCGGCUCUAGUUCCCCCGGGAGAUCGACUGGCCGAUGCUCCCAGUCCAAGUGUGGGUGGCAUUACCUACUUGGAUACCUGGUGUGGCUCAACGGAACCCGCUCUAAGCCCAUGGCUAGAGCACCUAAAGGCGAAAGGUGAGGAGAGUACCCAGGUGGCUCGCGUAAGGCCACGGUGUUCCGAAAUGUUGUCCCGAAGGCCCAGACUGUGGAAAGGAAGAGGAACAGUCCUCUGGGGCAGUGACCAAGGACACAGUCGUGUGGUGAGGAAGUCCCAGAGGACCGUGGGACUUAGUGGUCGGGCCUGUGGGUCUCGAUCCAGUGGCAGUGUUGGCAAACACGGCCAGGGGCAGAAAGGGACUUAGUGGGAACUGACAGAGGGAUAUUGGGGAAGGUUAUUCCCCUUGUCGGUGGGCAUCCUAAGGAUGCUAAGGAGUGGAUCUGAGAUGACCACUCACGGAUGGUUUGCCUAGUCUUGGAGAGCCAAGACGGUGAUGCAAGUGGUAUUGGACUACCAGUGUGGCAAAGGUGAUUGGGCAUGGCCUUAGCGUGAC
rnacentral:lncRNA from 1 species